GAAAGACAAUCUUUACCAGAAAAUAGCUGAAUUAAACAGUUUAAGUAUUAUUAUCUGUAUUGCAUUGCACAGAUAUCUCUCCGAACCCAUUCAAAAUGAAAUUAAAACAUUUAGUAAUUAAGAAUACGUAGUAUACACCGAAAGUAAAAGCACCGAAUUCAAUUGUAGAAGUAGUUUGAAUUUUUUAUUUACACCCACAAUAGUAUGGGUAUAUGAAAAUCUGGAUAAGAAAAGAAAGGAUUUUAUUUAGGUAAUUUUCACACGAAAAAAAGAAAAGAAAUUGAAAUUUGGUGGGUCAGCCCCAAAUAGACUUGUACCCUGACGCGAUUGGAACGACCGCACGUGUGCCGCAGAAACGCGAUCACGGUUCGACAAGCACAAACAUAAAAUUACACGGAUUCGCGCUCGCAAUCGUGUCCGUAUUCCGCUUACAUGCGGUUUGUCAAACGUAACUUCCGGUACACGGUGCGCGCGAUCGGUCUGUACAUAUACAUACAUACAUACAUAAGUACAGUAGGGCCCGAUUGUCGUUUCCCGUGUUGCUGAUAGUGCUGAUACGUGAAAGUAUCCGCGUCCUCGUUGUUGAAAUUUCUCCAAUUUCCAAAGCUUUAUUACGCUCUUCGCUCUGAUGACAUGAUCGCUUUAGAUUUUAGAUCAUGGAAGAAAAUGACUUGCUCGUUAAAUGAAAACUACUCGAACGACUAUGAAAAUGAUGAUUGUAGCGUAGUGUGUUUUCUAGGUGCACGCUAUACGCAUAUUGUUAUGCAUGCAUGAAAUGCGCUCUGUUGGCAGGGAUGGCAUUUAGAAAGCCAUAUUUGACAAUUCCUGCAGAUUCCAGUUACGUGAUGUGAUUAUUAAAUCACGAUUUAACCCUUUCGCAUUCUUGGACAGAGUGAUUUCAUUUGGUUUUUUAGACGAAUGGAUCAUUGGCAUAACUAGAUCUCAUAAAACAUAGUAGCCGUUAAAUCGAUGUAAUUAUAGAAUUAUAUAUCGGCGAUAAAGAAGACGGUCGUUCGGACUAUACUAAUGAAAGCAAUUAGCAAAAAUUACCGUCCUAAUUAGCUGGUCGUGAUUACUGCGGUAUCGCGGAAAUAUCUUCUCCUUCCUUCUCUGCUUUGUUUCGCUCUGUAACGGAAAAUUGAUUUUAUAGUCUUCAAGACGAGCGCCAUCUGCAAUUUGUUGCCAAUUCCAUGAGCUUCUGCUCACGUUUCCCAGAGCAAUUUCAUGAAUAUAUCUGCAUACUGUUAGGAUGAGUUUCGGAAAGAAGAAGGACGAGGGAAAAGAAACGGCAAAGAAAGAGAUGCCUCACAGAGAUGUCGUCCGAUGGGGAAAGAUUGAUUACAUUAUCGCGUGGAAUUCUUAAUGAAGCCGCGUUUCAAAUCGUUUGGCGAACUUGGCAAUUUCAUUUUUUUGAUAAAGAUCACCUUCUCAUUUUAUUUUUUUCAUUUUUAAGAGGAUAGCAGGGUUGAAACUGUAUUAUACUAUACUAAUAUUUAUAAUAUUAGGUAUAUACAGUUUAUAUUUAAAUAAUUAAGGAUUUAUUUUUCGAAUUAAGUGCUUCAAUUUGGUAUUGACGUACCUAACUAGAUAGGGGCCAGAAUUUCAUAAUUCCAGAUUACCACUGUUCGUUCCAGAGUUUUAAAAUUUCAGACUUUCUAAAUUAAAAUUAAAAUGUUCCUAACUUAUCCCCUUACUUUAUAGGGGAUGCUUGUUAAAAACCUUAAAAAAUUAAAUUAUUUACUUAGCUAAAAUUUUCAACUAACGAUAAAUCAGUUUGAAACUCUACAAAUAGUCUCUUUUGAUAAAAGUUAAUAAAGUUGACGAAUUUGAAAGAAAUGUGGAAGGAGUUGCGGUGAAUUCCAUGCUCGUGAUAGCAUUUCCUCGAGAAAUGAAAUUUUUUCCAUUGCUCUAAAUAUUUCAUGUAGCAUUAGGCGAGGUGGAAUUAAAAACGCGUUCUAAUUACAUUUUUCGUGACGGAAUUCGCAUUGCAACCGGACGCGCGAGGCUUAUGAAAGUUACGAAUCGUUUGUCCUAUAAAUAGAUAAAUAUGCAAUAUAAAAUAUCUGAAAAAAAAACACUCGAAACUCUUGGUUGGCAUUCUUAAGCAGCAAGGUCGGCUACAUAAUAUGUAACGAGACGUAAUUCGAGCAAGGAAUACUUUCACCUUUGAAAGAGCCCACAGUUACCUACUUACGUAGCCGUUGAUCUCGAAACAAACGGAGAAAAAGAAGGAUAAUCGCGGGGCUGCUCGAUCCUGUCUCGUAAUGAAUUACGAGCUGAAUUGCGAGCCGAAAGGUUUCGGUGAAAGAGCCAGUAAUUUUCGGUAAUCGCCGAUUGCACGACCCGAUGAAUCGUUAUUCAGAUCCAUGUUACGUACCCGCUGUUAGCCAAAGUGGAAGAAAGGUUCUUCAGGAUUAAAAGUUGCCGAAUCGAUACCAUGAUUGAUGAGAAAGUAGGAUGAAAAUGAAGGAUGUAAAGAAAAACGGAAAUGAAGGAGAGAAAUGUAUCUGCAUAUACAAGCUGUUUUAGAAAAGAAAUUCAAAAGCAACAUAGUAGAUAAUCCUUUAUUCAACAAAAAUUAGGAUUCGCAUACUUUAUAAUAUGUAUAAUAAGUUACGUAGAAAUAAUAAUAAUAAUCUGAACUAUCGGAACUAUCAAACUUUUAAGGACCACCCCCUUGAAUCGUAAAAAGAAAGGACGAUAGGCUAUUAGAGUGGUAAUGUAAGGUAGCAUUAUACGUUCCACCUUUCGACUUGUUCUUUUGUAAUUACUUGCCGGCAAGGAUUCUGAAAGCGAUGUCAUGGUCUCGUUUUACCGGUUUUUGAACACACCUCGUUUAUUCUUACAUAAUUGAAUAUAGUUCCCUCGGUGAACAAGGUGAAAUUAUUAAGACCACUAGAAACCAGAACGAAGGAUAAUAAGCUGAUUCAAUAAUGAAUCGAGUCUUUAUUUCGUAGCUCCAUAUUUCAUGGAAUUUAUCAAAUAAAUACAUACAUGAUAACAAUUUCUACAAUAUAAUUAACCCGUUUCUGUCCGCCGUCUUUAAUAAUUAAUCCUCUUCAUUACUGAUAAUUGAAUAUACAUACGUAUAAUAUAAUUUACACUCACUUUGUACAUUUUACGCUUUGCAGCAUUAAUUCUAGAUAUUAAAUUUUAAUAAACAAUGAUUAUAAUUGUGCUUGAUAAAGCAUGGUACGUUCACAAUGAAAUCAAGCUCUCCUAGGAAAAAUGCUGAUAUACAUAUUGAUGUUAAAAGUAACUCGAGAAAAAAUAAUACGAGUUUUAAUUAUUAAAUAUCAUAAAAUUUAUAAAAUAACUGAAAAGUGCGAAUUUCAUUUCAUUCGAAGAAUAUGUAUCUACUGCGAGUAAAUACAACCGAGGAAGUUACGUUUCCGUUUUUCCUCAAUUAACUUUACCUUGCUUGUCUUAAACAUUAAUUUUCUUUUUUUUUCUUUACGAUACGUUUGCUAAUGUUCGGAUCGCCAGUGAGUCUUCGCGGUUGCACAGAUCGCUCGGUUGUAACGCGAUAAAACGUUAUUGCCCCGAUGCAGUGGCGGCUGUCCUAGUGUAGGAACGGAAAAGUGAAAUCGCGGCCACAGACAGGGUCGUGGAGCGACACGAAAUCGAUUAUCGAGAAAAUUACCAUAAUAUCGUUUACGUUGACGUUGACGUUGACGUUGACGUUUACGUUUACGUUUACGUUUACGUUGAAUCGGUGCUCAUUAAGGCGACGAAUUUAAGGAGAAUCAUUGCGAUUUUCGGAAAGCCAAAUUUUCUCCGAUUCUUUCGAUGUUGAAGUUUUUCGAAUAGGUCAAUAAAUAAAUAUUUAAAUAUUGGAACGUUUUGAUGGAAGAAACUUAAAUUUCUAAGCUUCUUGCUAAUAGAAGAAGCAUACCCAUCUAAGUACAGAGCGUUUUUUGGAAAAAAUUGAAAACACUUUUCAAAGACCAAAUUGCAAAAUGGGGCUCUGUAUAAUUUUUUAAUAUUAGAUAUAAAGAAAAAGUAAAAUUGAAAAGUCAUAAAUUUUACAAAAUAUUCAGUCGUUAAUGUGUUAACAGAACUUGUAAGUAACUCAUACACAAUUCCAAGGUAUGAAAGAGCCCUCUUUCAUCGCUCGAGAAGUACAUACAUACAUAAUUCAAUUUCCGUAUCAAAAUCCUCAUAAUACGUGAAAAAAAAAAAUAGUGAAUCUCUAUCUCUGAUGCUUUCACUGUAAUAGGCCAUUAAUUCAUAGGCCAUUAAUAAAUGGAGCAGCCGAUAAUUAUAUCCAAUCGCUACGCGCUGGCUGACAAUGAGAAACAAUUACCAGCAAUUAUUUAGCAUUUUCGUAUCUUUGACGACAAACGACCACAAUAUAUGUACUAUGUAUGUACAUACAUACACAUAUACACGCAAGACUGUUAUUUCGAUGGUAAAAGACACAGGAUUUUUCUCUGGUAACAAGAACGUGGUCGAAUAAUGAAUUGGUGACGUAUCCUCGUUAAGAUUCCACGUAUGUACAUACCAAUAAUCAAUCGAUAUAUAAGGUGGAUUUCGAAAUAUACCAAGUCUGACCCCUAUUUAAUAGCGUGAAAGUAUCUUAGAAGGAGAUGAAAUGUAUAACACUUUCGACCCAAAAUGGUAUACUUAUCGUUAGGGAAACGAUAAAAUUCUGAUUACAGUCUGAUUAUAUUACCUAUAAUUCAUACACGUACCACUUCUAUCUUCACGUACGGUCAUUGUAAAGACUAUUCAAUAGAGAAGCAUGCAUUGCUACCGCUAUUUAGAAUGACAAUACUGUCAGGAGUUGGAACAUCCUUGAAUGUGACACAGAAAAAAUCGCAUAAGGUGGAGCAAUAUUAAGUCAUUACUCACUCAGUUGUGCUGAUAAGACGAUUAAGCAUCAUUUUCAUAAACGAUUCUAUAGAAGCAAAUUAUAGUUUCUAUUUUAGUCUCUGCCUCUCCUAGUAACCUGGCCUUAAUGUUUCUGUACUAGCUUCUUAAAUUAUUUCUCAACUUCAUUCCAUGCUAACAGUGCAAGUUCCGAUUGUUCUCGAUUUAAACGCUUCGGACGAGACGACGAUGUAUCUAUUACUAUCUGUGAUCGUUUAUGAAUGUGUAAUUGAGAGACGAUAUUAAAUAUUUUAUACUACUAAUAAA